AGCACGACUUCCUCCAAGCAGGGGCUGCCCCCGGCACCGGGAAGGUGGAGCUGAGCAGUGAUUCUAAACGACCAACAAAUGCUUUUAUGAGCCCCUUUGGUGGGUUGCUCUGGCGAUGGGCUCUGCUCCCUGAGACCCACUUCUCUGCCUGUGUUCAAUAUGGGCCGCUCAGCACUCUGCCAGGGGAAACCGUCAAGUAAGGUUGUCUCCUGCAAGUUCUGGAUUCAGAGCCAAGACGAAGAGAAUUAAGUAGCAGGUGGUGGGAACCAGUUCCUGAGAAACACUGGCUGCCUUAAACACCGCUGACCACAGGAUGUCACCAGUGUUCCAUGGAAAUUCUACCGAAAGGGCAUUUACCUGAGAGAGCCCUGGCUUCAUCGCGUGAAACCGAAGCAGAUCUGGGCCUCGGCUGUCCUUGACGAAGAUGUGGCACCUACAAGCAAACCAGUAAACUUAACAGCCCAGAGCCGCUAUUUAAUUGGCCCUGAAGAGAAGUCACCCUGAGGUGGAGUUAAUAACCAGUGCCAGAUCUUUUUUCCUUCCCUUACUUUAAUUUUCUUUGAAAGCUUCCUGCACGAGCCAUGUGGUGACCAAUAGCUAAUGGAAUUACGUGCUACUCAGGUGAGGGGAGCCCGGCCUGCCGCGGUCCAUGGGAUCACAAAAGAGCUGGGCACUACCGAGUGAGCACCCUGAAGUCACUAGGGUGGGCUCUCAUCCAACGUGGCUGAUGUCCUUAUAGGAAGAGGCAGGGACGCAGACAGGCCCAGAGGGACAACCCUGUGGAGACACAGGGAGAAGACGGCUUAGGAGAACCAGCUCUGUCUGCACCUGGUCUGGGACUCUUGGCCUUCAGAAGGGUGAAGACACACGUUUCUGUGGUUUAAGCCCCCCAGUCUGUGGUAACGUGUCAUGGCGGCUCUAGUAAAUCAAUAUUGCUGUUGUUCAGCCACUCAGUUGAAUACAAUACCCUGUGGACUGCAGCCUGCCAGGCUCCUCUGUCCAUGGGGUUCCCCAGGCAAGAAUACUGGAGUGGACUGCCACUUCCUUCGCCAGGGGAUCUUCCCGACCCAGGGAUCGGACCUGUGUCCCCUGCAUUGGCAGGCAGAUUCUUUACUGCUGCACCACCAGGGAAGCCCCAGCAAAGGGACUAAGAUACCUCAGUUUGGCAGUACUUGCUGCGUAAUUCUGAUAAUGGGCUCUUUGGUUAAAUCCAGCUGCUGUCGUCAUCACAAUGGCCCACACCAGCUGAGGACUCUGCGGGUGCUGGGUAUAGUUACUAAGGGGUCUGCACACAUCGGUUGUGUACCCACCAUGAGGGUGUCACCCCUAGUCUUCAGAUGAGAACACUGAGGGCAUGUUCACAUCCACAGGUGGUCCGUUCCGAAUGACCUGACCCCCACCAGUUCCUGUGAGUUGCUCUGAAUAGCAGGAACUGAGUGUCAAAAGUUCUCCACCUCCCCAGAAACAAGCCUCGCCGCCUUGGGCUCCAUCUACGCAGCAGAAUCUUGGCGCCCCUGGAAGUCUGUGAGCCCCUCCCUCAGCUGCAGUGGCAGCUGGUCUGUAACUUGCCCGGGUUUGCACCGUGAGUGGCUGGGCCAACCCGGGAGCUGGCUUGUCUCACGAUCGGCGUUCUUUCCACGAGACCACCUGCCUCAUGUAAC
ensembl:lncRNA